rnacentral:rRNA from 1 species
AUUGAACGCUGGCGGCGUGCUAACACAUGCAAGUCGAUCGGUAACGCGGGGGCAACCCUGGCGACGAGAGGCGGACGGGUGAGGAACGCUUGGGAAUCUGCCUAUCAGCGGGGGACAACACGGGGAAACUCGUGCUAAUACCGCAUACGCUCUACGGAGGAAAGCCGGGGACCGCACGGCCUGGCACUGCUAGAUGAGCCCAAGCCGGAUUAGCUAGUUGGCGGGGUAACGGCCCACCAAGGCGACGAUCCGUAGCUGGUCUGAGAGGACGAUCAGCCACACUGGGACUGAGACACGGCCCAGACUCCUACGGGAGGCAGCAGUGGGGAAUAUUGGACAAUGGGCGCAAGCCUGAUCCAGCCAUGCCGCGUGAGUGAAGAAGGCCUUCGGGUUGUAAAGCUCUUUCGGCCGGGAAGAAAUCGCAUCAGCUAAUACCUGGUGUGGAUGACGGUACCGGAAUAAGAAGCACCGGCUAACUACGUGCCAGCCGCCGCCGUAAAAC